CUGAGCUGGAACUUCAGCUCAAACAGUGGCUCUUCAGUCUUCUGAUGGCAAGAAUGAAGAAUGAAGACGUGAGUCUCUGUGACUCAGCCAGGAGCUAUGGCCAUCUACUGUGACUCAGCCAAUGGAAACAUUUGUAAUGUCUGUUGUUUAUCACCAUACAUUCACGUCCCGUGUCCUCACCCAGAAGGGACACUGGGUUGGCAGUAGGCCUUCUGCAGUGAGCUGCCUGAACUCUCCUUGCUUUGGCCAUGGGUGCAGCACAUGUGGUGGGAAGAAGCAUUUUGACUGAAGGUGGCUGCUGCAGGACCGUUUAUCCUUGCCUUGCUGCCCAAAGUUUGUGCCUCGGGGCUACAAUCACUACUGCCACCUCCUAUUUAAACCACUUAAACGGAGUCAAAUGAAUUCUCUUGACACAAACUAAGGAAUGCUGACACAAACUGCUGCGUGGGCUGGUUCAAAAGGGUGCUUAACACUAGAGGAGGGAAGGGGUGGGACAAGGACCGAGAACACCACAGAUGAGCAGCUGCAGUGGUAGCACCCAGCAGCACAGCUGGAUCUGAAGGAGGAUGUUUGUCCACAGCCUCUGAAAGCAAUUAGACUGGAGCCUUGGGGGGUCUAGCACAUCUGAGAACAAGUGCUACUUAUUUUGUUAACUAAAUAGGGAUUUGGAUAUCUGUUCUUAUUUCCAGACUGGAACAUUCAUGAGCUUCUGUGUGCUGUGUAAGCAUUGAAGAUCUAGCUGCUUUAAUUACUGGUAGCAGCUCCGUCAUUAAAUGGUGUUUCUUACUUGAGAAGACAAUGAUACUGAUCACUUAGGUGAAGUAGGGGGAAGGAUAGUUCUGCUGCUGUUUCUUUUCUUCAAAAUCAAGCUGUCUAAAUUCAAAAUGACACAAAAAUUCAGAAGAAUUCAGCUUUGGAACAAGGUUUUGCUUGUUUUUCCCCUCCCGGAUUUCUGUAUUAUCCUUGCUUCCUGAGGAGCCCUGUGACCGCUGUAUUCAAGAAACCUGUCCUCCCAAUGCCUCCAAUGCCUGUGACCAUUUCUG